rnacentral:rRNA from 1 species
GUAACGGGUAAGUACUUGUACUUAUGCUGACGAGUGGCGGACGGGUGAGUAAUGCUUGGGAAUCUGGCUUAUGGAGGGGGAUAACGACGGGAAACUGUCGCUGAUACCGCGUAAAAUCGAAAGAUUAAAGUGUGGGACCUUCGGGCCACAUGCCAUAGGAUGAGCCCAAGUGGGAUUAGGUAGUUGGUGGGGUAAAGGCCUACCAAGCCGUCGAUCUCUAGCUGGUCUGAGAGGAUGACCAGCCACACCGGGACUGAGACACGGCCCGGACUCCUACGGGAGGCAGCAGUGGGGAAUAUUGCGCAAUGGGGGCAACCCUGACGCAGCCAUGCCGCGUGAAUGAAGAAGGCCUUCGGGUUGUAAAGUUCUUUCGGUGAUGAGGAAGGUUGGCAUAUGAAUAGUAUGCCAAAUUGACGUUAGUCACAGAAGAAGCACCGGCUAACUCCGUGCCAGCAGCCGCGGUAAUACGGAGGGUGCGAGCGUUAAUCGGAAUAACUGGGCGUAAAGGGCACGCAGGCGGACCUUUAAGUGAGGUGUGAAAUCCCCGGGCUUAACCUGGGAAUUGCAUUUCAUACUGGGGGUCUAGAGUACUUUAGGGAGGGGUAGAAUUCCACGUGUAGCGGUGAAAUGCGUAGAGAUGUGGAGGAAUACCGAAGGCGAAGGCAGCCCCUUGGGAAUGUACUGACGCUCAUGUGCGAAAGCGUGGGGAGCAAACAGGAUUAGAUACCCUGGUAGUCCACGCUGUAAACGCUGUCGAUUUGGGGAUUGGGGUUUAACCCUGGUGCCCGAAGCUAACGUGAUAAAUCGACCGCCUGGGGAGUACGGCCGCAAGGUUAAAACUCAAAUGAAUUGACGGGGGCCCGCACAAGCGGUGGAGCAUGUGGUUUAAUUCGAUGCAACGCGAA